rnacentral:rRNA from 1 species
GACGAACCGCACAAACGUUAUUCGGAAUCACUGGGCUUAAAGGGUGCGUAGGCGGUCCGGAAAGUUGGGUGUGAAAUCCCUUGGCUCAACCGAGGAAUUGCGCUCAAAACUGCCGGACUUGAGGGAGACAGAGGUGAGCGGAACUUAGGGUGGAGCGGUGAAAUGCGUUGAUAUCCUGAGGAACUCCAGUUGCGAAGGCGGCUCACUGGGUCUUUUCUGACGCUGAGGCACGAAAGCUAGGGGAGCGAAGAGG